UACAGAGGGGGCAAGCGUUAUUCGGAAUUAUUGGGCGUAAAGAGCUCGUAGGCGGUUUGUCGCGUCUGCUGUGAAAACUCAGGGCUUAACCCUGAGCCUGCAGUGGGUACGGGCAGACUAGAGUGUGGUAGGGGAGAUCGGAAUUCCUGGUGUAGCGGUGGAAUGCGCAGAUAUCAGGAGGAACACCGGUGGCGAAGGCGGAUCUCUGGGCCAGAACUGACGCUGAGGAGCGAAAGCAUGGGGAGCGAACAGG
rnacentral:rRNA from 1 species